rnacentral:rRNA from 1 species
AGUGAACGCUGGCGGUAGGCCUAACACAUGCAAGUCGAACGGCAGCACAGUAAGAGCUUGCUCUUACGGGUGGCGAGUGGCGGACGGGUGAGGAAUACAUCGGAAUCUACUUUUUCGUGGGGGAUAACGUAGGGAAACUUACGCUAAUACCGCAUACGACCUACGGGUGAAAGCAGGGGAUCUUCGGACCUUGCGCGAUUGAAUGAGCCGAUGUCGGAUUAGCUAGUUGGCGGGGUAAAGGCCCACCAAGGCGACGAUCCGUAGCUGGUCUGAGAGGAUGAUCAGCCACACUGGAACUGAGACACGGUCCAGACUCCUACGGGAGGCAGCAGUGGGGAAUAUUAGACAAUGGGCGCAAGCCUGAUCCAGCCAUACCGCGUGGGUGAAGAAGACCUUAGGGUUGUAAAGCCCUUUUGUUGGGAAAGAAAAGCAGCAGGUUAAUACCCCGCUGUUCUGACGGUACCCAAAGAAUAAGCACCGGCUAACUUCGUG